rnacentral:rRNA from 1 species
AGCGAACGCUGGCGGCAGGCUUAACACAUGCAAGUCGAGCGCCCCGCAAGGGGAGCGGCAGACGGGAGAGUAACACGUGGGAACAUACCUUUUGGUUCGGAACAACUGAGGGAAACUUCAGCUAAUACCGGAUAAGCCCUUACGGGGAAAGAUUUAUCGCCGAAAGAUUGGCCCGCGUCUGAUUAGCUAGUUGGUGGGGUAGUGGCUUACCAAGGCUUUGACGGGUAGCCGGCCUGAGAGGGUGACCGGCCACAUUGGGACUGAGAUACGGCCCAGACUCCUACGGGAGGCAGCAGUGGGGAAUAUUGCACAAUGGGCGGAAGCCUGAUGCAGCAACGCCGCGUGCGGGAUGACGGCCUUCGGGUUGUAAACCGCUUUCGCCUGUGACGAAGCGUGAGUGACGGUAAUGGGUAAAGAAGCACCGGCUAACUACGUG